GGAGAAUGAGGCAAGCCAAGCUGUGAGGAGUCUGUGGGUCAUGGCUUUGGCAGCGUGGAACCUGGGACAUAGAGUCCCCCUUGAUACGGCUGUUCAGCAGACCAACUUUGUUGUAAAUAUUUAGAUAAAAAUGGGCUUUAGAGCAGCCACAUCUGAAGACCCACAAGGCUGAAUGUUACACAGGGGGGAGCACCAUUAUUUAAUCUGAACAUCUGGAAUCCAUCAUGUGUAGUGAAGGACAAGAUGUAUCCUCAUUUUUAAGCCAACUCCAUGAUAAAAUUGAUGGAUGGGACCAAUGUGUACAGGUGAAGAAGAUUGAUACUUAAGAUCUGCAAUCAGAAUCUGAUUGAAGAUAAACUCAUCCUAUUUGGAUCAGAGCAUUAGAAGAAAGAAAGAACUGACACUUCUCAACCUUCUCUAGUUGAAGACUUCUCUUUGCUAUAACUACUUGAAGAGUUCAGCAGAAAAAUUUUACUGAAGAAUCCCUGAUCCUCCUUUAAGUAGCUGUAGAGAAUAUUCACUAAGUGUAAUGGGACACGUCUCUCUCAUGCCCACUUCUUUUCUCUUAUCCCUGCAAGAAAAUGAAGUUUUGUUGGAGUCAGAG
rnacentral:lncRNA from 1 species